rnacentral:rRNA from 1 species
AAUCAACGCUGGCGGCGUGCCUCAGACAUGCAAGUCGAACGAUUAAACUUUCCUUCGGGAAAGAUAUAAAGUGGCGUACGGGUGAGUAACACGUAAGUAAUCUACCUUCGAGUGGGGAAUAACGUUCGGAAACGAACGACUAAUACCGCAUAAUGCAGCGGCAUCAUAUGAUGACAGUUGUUAAAGCAUUUAUGCGCUUGAAGAGGAGCUUGCGGCAGAUUAGCUAGNGGUAAGGUAAUGGCUUACCAAGGCAACGAUCUGUAUCCGGUCUAAGAGGACGGUCGGACACACUGACACU